CCUACGGGGGGCAGCAGUCGAGAAUCAUUCACAAUGGGGGAAACCCUGAUGGUGCGACGCCGCGUGGGGGAAUGAAGGUCUUCGGAUUGUAAACCCCUGUCAUGUGGGAGCAAAUUAAAAAGAUCGUACCACAAUAGGAAGAGACGGCUAACUCUGUGCCAGCAGCCGCGGUAAUACAGAGGUCUCAAGCGUUGUUCGGAAUCACUGGGCGUAAAGCGUGCGUAGGCUGUUUCGUAAGUCGUGUGUGAAAGGCGCGGGCUCAACCCGCGGACGGCACAUGAUACUGCGAGACUAGAGUAAGGGAGGGGGAACCGGAAUUCUCGGUGUAGCAGUGAAAUGCGUAGAUAUCGAGAGGAACACUCGUGGCGAAGGCGGGUUCCUGGACAGUAACUGACGCUGAGGCACGAAGGCCAGGGGAGCGAAAGGGAUUAGAUACCCUAGUAGUC
rnacentral:rRNA from 1 species